ACCUCUGGGAUUGCUCAGCUGGUAGAGCAUGAAACUCUUAAUCUUAGGGUCGUGGGUUCAAGUCCUACACUGGGCA